AAAUUGAAGAGUUUGAUCAUGGCUCAGAUUGAACGCUGGCGGCAGGCCUAACACAUGCAAGUCGAACGGUAACAGGAAGCAGCUUGCUGCUUCGCUGACGAGUGGCGGACGGGUGAGUAAUGUCUGGGAAACUGCCUGAUGGAGGGGGAUAACUACUGGAAACGGUGGCUAAUACCGCAUAACGUCGCAAGACCAAAGAGGGGGACCUUCGGGCCUCAUGCCAUCAGAUGUGCCCAGAGGGGAUUAGCUUGUUGGUGAGGUAACGGCUCA
rnacentral:rRNA from 1 species